CCAAUGCCAAGGGAUCUGAUGCCCUCUUCUAGCCGCCAAGAGCAUUGCAUAUGGGUGGUGCUCAUAUAUGCACGCUGGCAAAAGCAAUCAGACACGUGAUUCUUUAUUAAAAAGCCGUCAGUGUAGCCCUCGGUCCUGCAGGGGGGGGGGGGGGGGUUGGGGAGGGGGAUGUGGUUGACAGGGACGUAGAUGAAGCUGACAGACUGCAGGGGUAUAGGUGUUUGAAUUGAUCCUCUCUGAUUGUGGAACUGAGAAAGUCCCCAAAAAUAAACUCCCUGAGAAGUCCGACUUCCUUCGGGGUUCUAGGCCAUAAGAUCUUGCAGAGACCAUGUCAGUGGCCCUCGUUUGUGGUUCAUGGUGAGGUGCCCAGUUAGGGAAGCUCUAAAGUUUGACGAUGUGAUACGGUAUUCAAGUCAGGGAUCCUCUUUUUGGAGGAAAAUCCCAAAUACCGAAGAAAAAAAUGUCUUCAAGAGAACGAAAGUAGAACCUCCUGGGGUCCCGUAGGAAGAACAAGGAGGAACCAGGCCCCAUGGGUAAGUCUAAGUCAGAUUGGUCCCUUUCUAUGAAACUCACACAGGAUGAUCCGGACCAGAGUUCACAGCCCCAAGCUGCCAUACUCCUUGGAAAAAGAAUUAGGGGGAAUCUGACACCCUCAGACAGAUGCCUGAGAAGAAAGGCUUUGGGGUUGGGGAUUUGGCUCAGUGGUAGAGCACUUGCCUAG
rnacentral:lncRNA from 1 species